GAUCGCAGGAGGUGUAUGGUGGUGCUUCGGUUCUAGCGCCAGCUAAUUGUGUAAUAAGUACUUGUCGCCCCGGUCGGAUUUUCCUACAAACCUGCUUAACCCGGUGAACUGUGAAACCCGCAUCACUAUUCGUUCGGAACUGUGUUAGGUCACCUCGAGGUAGUUUUGGUUUGUCUAGGCGUAAUUUCGUGUACUGUGAUCAAGUUUAGAAAUGGCAAGAACAGCAUCGGUGUCUGAUAUCUAGUAUCCAUAGGCUGCAGUGCCAAGAAGAACCCAGAGCUGAUCUCAGAAUAACAGCAAACGGCACAUCCAGCUGAGGUUCAGUCCAUUUACAUGUCGCCCAGCUUAGAUUUUUCUUUUUGAGCCCAUGCAGGUAUGCAGGAGAACUGCAUGUAAUAUAUGAAAUAGUCUUCAGGAUGCAGGAAAACACAAACUACCUAAAGAAACAAAAACUUCAGGCACAAAGCGACCUUGGUCAGAACAACUGCUCUAUACAAAGCGACCAAUUGCACGCAUCACAUUUAUUUAGGACAAUGCUUGUGUGUUGCUACAGGCAAUAUUUAACAAUUUCAUGUGGAGAAUUACUACUUAUCAUAGUUGAAUGUCCAUGAUGAGCAAAGGCGCAAGAAAGACAAAAAUCAAGCAUAACCAAAUAUUUCUCCAACAAUUGCAAAAAAAAGGGUGCUCGUGGCUUAGAAUUAAAGAAACCGAGAGCAUGACUUUCAAAUUAGAUUUUGAACAGAUGCAUGAUUUAACUUUUGAUUCUAAAUAUGCCAAGUACAAUGCAUAAAAAUUAUUACCUCGUGAGAUCAGGUGGUAUGAAAUAUGAAAUUUAGACGGCCUUAAAUGACAUACAACUAUGCACUGUCGGCAUUGUUGGACCAAUCCUAGAUCAAUCUUAACUGAAGUUUGCCUUUGAGUAAUUUCUCUACAAAUAGACAAAUAUCAAGAGAAAUCAGUGCAACUUCUUUGAAACAAACUACACAAACAUAGACAGCACAACAUCACCUUGCUCGUUUACCGCGUGCCCUUCUAUCCUGAAAUCCACU
rnacentral:lncRNA from 1 species